AUUGAACGCUGGCGGCAGGCCUAACACAUGCAAGUCGAGCGAGCGGCGGACGGGUGAGUAAUGUCUGGGAAACUGCCUGAUGGAAGGGGAAAACUACUGGAAACGGUAGCUAAUACCGCAUACCAUCAGAUGUGCCAAGAUGGGAUUAGCUAGAAGGUGGGGUAAUGGCUGACCUAGGCGACGAUGCCUAGCUGGCCUGAGCGGAUGACCAGCCACACUGGAACUGAGACACGGUCCAGACUCCUACGGGAGGCAGCAGUGGGGAAUAUUGCGCAAUGGGCGCAAGCCUGAUGCAGCCAUGCCGCGUGUGUGAAGAAGGCCUUCGGGUUGUAAAGCACUUUCAGCGGGGAGGCGUUACCCGCAGAGAAAGCACCGGCUAACUCCGUGCCAGCAGCCGCGGUAAUAC
rnacentral:rRNA from 1 species